ACCUGUUCUCGCUGAUCCAUGGAUUUCUGUGUGACCAGGUUUCACCUAUGGAGCCGUGGCCCCGACAACCAACACUUUGGGGCACAACCUGAAGACCCUCACAGUCACCUUCCCCAUCUCCACACUCUGGUAUUCAUCAGACAGGAGCAAUGGCUCAGCCAUGUUCAACUCCAUUGAGAGGGUCCUGCAGAGCCUGCUGGAUCAUUGUUCAAGAGGAGCAGCCUGGGUCCCUUCUACUCGAGUUGCAGACUGGUCUC